GUAAGCAGAACUAAUAUCCCCCUUGUUUUCUAGGAAGGAUUUUUCUGGCUAAGGUGGCCACUGUGGCUUAGGGAUUUGAACAGGUCUCUGCAUGACACAUGUAAGAAAAACAUAGCUGAGAAUCUACAGGACAAGGAGAUUCUCAAAAGAGAAUCAGAGAUUUUCAAAAAGAAUGUUGGGGCCCCGGAAGAAGUGGUGGUGGUCGAGCCCUCAAGCAUGUCGUCUGAUGACGCAGAGGAGAGCGAAGAGAGGUCACAGAUUGAUCCAGUAUCUUUUUUUUAAAA